UGGGGAAUUUUGGACAAUGGACGCAAGUCUGAUCCAGCCAUGCCGCGUGCGGGAAGAAGGCCUUCGGGUUGUAAACCGCUUUUGUCAGGGAAGAAACGAGUUUCUCUAAUACAGAGACUUAAUGACGGUACCUGAAGAAUAAGCACCGGCUAACUACGUGCCAGCAGCCGCGGUAAUACGUAGGGUGCAAGCGUUAAUCGGAAUUACUGGGCGUAAAGCGUGCGCAGGCGGUGAUGUAAGACAGAUGUGAAAUCCCCGGGCUCAACCUGGGACCUGCAUUUGUGACUGUAUAGCUAGAGUACGGUAGAGGGGGAUGGAAUUCCGCGUGUAGCAGUGAAAUGCGUAGAUAUGCGGAGGAACACCGAUGGCGAAGGCAAUCCCCUGGACCUGUACUGACGCUCAUGCACGAAAGCGUGGGGAGCAAACA
rnacentral:rRNA from 1 species